CUUCUAUUUUGCCUUUAAUCACACCGCUUGGUUGCUCAUCAGUUAUGUUGCUGAAGCUGUGAUCAUUGAUGAGGACCAGUUUUCCAAUAGCAUCUAGCUUCUUCAAAUUCUGCAAAAGAACGAAUCCUAAACUUUUGUCUUUCAAUCA